GACGAACGCUGGCGGCGUGCUUAACACAUGCAAGUCGAACGGAAAGGCCCUGCUUUUGUGGGGUGCUCGAGUGGCGAACGGGUGCGUAACAGGUGAGUAACCUGCCCUUGAUUUUGGGAUAACUUCAGGAAACUGGGGCUAAUAACGUAUAGGAGCUCCUGCUGCAUGGUGGGGGUUGGAAAGUUUCGGCGGUUGGGGAUGGAUUCGCGGCUGUUGAGUUUGUUGGUGGGGUAGUGGCGUACCAAGGCUUCGACGGGUCGCCGGCCUGAGUGAGCGACCGGCCACACUGCGUAUGAGAUACGGCGCUGUCUCCUACCGGAGUCACCAGUCGUGAGGGUUGCACAAUGAGAGGAAGCCUGAUAUCGCGACGCCGCGUGCGGGAUGACGGUUUUCGGGUUGUAAACCGCUUUCGCUUAUUACCAAGCGUGAGUGACGGUAAUGGGUCAAGAAGCACCGGCUAACUACGUG
rnacentral:rRNA from 1 species